CCUACGGGGGACUGCAGUGGGGAAUAUUGCACAAUGGGCGAAAGCCUGAUGCAGCAACGCCGCGUGAGCGAUGAAGGCCUUCGGGUCGUAAAGCUCUGUUCUCAAGGAAGAUAAUGACGGUACUUGAGGACGAAGCCCCGGCUAACUACGAGCCGGCAGGCGCGGUAAUACGUAGGUGGCUGGCGUUAUCCGGAAUUACCGGGCGUAAAGGGUGCGUAGGUGGUUUCUUAAGUCAGAGGUGAAAGGCUACGGCUCAACCGUAGUAAGCCUGUGAAACUGGGAAACUCGAGUGCAGGAGCGGAGAGUGGAAUUCCUAGUGUAGCGGUGAAAUGCGUAGAUAUUAGGAGGAACCCCAGUUGCGAAGGCGGCACUCUGGACUGUCACUGACACUGAGGCACGAAAGCGUGGGGAGCAAACAGGAUUAGAUACCCCAGUAGUC
rnacentral:rRNA from 1 species